rnacentral:lncRNA from 1 species
GGUUACAAGGAGUGUAAUUUAAACACAGGCAGCCCCGGGGCAACACAGGCAGAGAUGUGAUAAGUCUGAGUGUCCAGUCUGCAGAGAAGGAAAAUGCAAAAUCUCUAAGUCCAGGUAACAAAAUUCACCUGGUUUUGGACCUGCUUCCCUGAAAUGUCUUCAUAAACUCCCUGUCAGAGGAUGCCCUGGCUGCUGCAGAAUGAGCCUGAGUAACUUUGACAGACCUUGAAAUGCAUCUGUAUGGAUCAGAUUACCUCAGAAGUAGGAGGAAAUUUAUAUUUAUUGGAAGAGACAGUUGUGUUUUGUGUGUGUGACUGUGGAGCUCAUGAAGUCUGGAAGGACUACAGCCAUUUUCCCUUGCUGCUGAUGGUAUGCAAUGGGAUGCAGCGCUGCCUUUUGGAACAUUCCUGGGUUCCUGCAUCAGCAAUGCAUGCAGAACAGCUGCAGAUACACCUUGAGAGGGGGCAGCAGCUCCAGGAAUGACAACUCAGCCUAUUAGCUAGUUUAUGUUAAAGCCCUUCUGAAGGAGGUGAUCUCAAAGACAACUGGAGCUGGAGGAGAAGUAAAUAAAACAAAUCUGGAUUCAUUAAAGAUUAUUAUU